rnacentral:rRNA from 1 species
AGUGAACGCUGGCGGCAGGCCUAACACAUGCAAGUCGAGCGGCAGCGCGGGGGCAACCCUGGCGGCGAGCAGCGGACGGGUGAGGAAUUCGUCGGAAUCUGCCUUUUUGUGGGGGAUAACGUAGGGAAACUUACGCUAAUACCGCAUACGUCCUACGGGAGAAAGUGGGGGACCGCAAGGCCUCACGCAGAAAGAUGAGCCGACGACCGAUUAGCUAGUUGGUGGGGUAAAGGCCCACCAAGGCGACGAUCGGUAGCUGGUCUGAGAGAAUGAUCAGCCACACUGGGACUGAGGCACGGCCCAGACUCCUACGGGAGGCAGCAGUGGGGAAUAUUGGACAAUGGGCGCAAGCCUGAUCCAGCCAUGCCGCGUGUGUGAAGAAGGCCUUCGGGUUGUAAAGCACUUUUGUCCGGAAAGAAAUCCCUGGAGCUAAUACCUUCGGGGGAUGACGGUACCGGAAGAAUAAGCACCGGCUAACUUCGUG